UCCAAAACUAAUCCACAGUCCAAAUACAAAGUUUGCUGCUGAUAAUUGCACCAUAGUGCUGACAUGACGAUACGAUGAAAUUAUUAACAAAACUCGUGGAACUAAUGCUGCUUCUGUUGUUCACCGUACAAAUAAACUCAAAUCAGUAUAUAUCCGUUUUCCUUCAAAGGAGCUACGGGACCUGCAACAAAAGGUAUUGUAACAUUUCAAUUGUGUGCCGACCGUUAAAUCGUACAUCAAAAUGGUACUCGAUGGAUAUACAUAUUCGUCCAGAAGUGCAGCUGGAGGCGACAAUCUAUGUAAUUUUCAGUCUUCUAGUCGAUUUUAUAAAAACUUUUAUCGAAUUACAGAUCGAAUUGAUCGCAUUCAAAAAAUUUAGAACCAUAUACCGACAGCAUAUGUUAAAAUUAAAGACAGAGAUGUGUGCUCAGCUUAAAAACGCGGACCAUCCAUUCUUUAAGCUACUAUGGAAAUAUGAAAUUAAUGGAAACGUGUUUGAUCCGUGUCCGAUUAGCGGUCAUCGAUAUGUUAAACCAUACGUUCCGUCAUACGACCGAUUGGUACCAGUAGGGGAAUGGAGAGUGGAUACCAAGAUAUCGAAAAAUGUAAACGAUUCGGAAGUAAUUAUUGCGACUUGGUCUGAAUUUUAUGAAGUUAAACCUACGAGUGCUGUAGAGUUCUAAAUCGUUAAAAAAGUAAAUUAUGUUUGGGGUGAAUGGUUUAAAUACAGAAGAAACAGAAUUUUUUAUUAUUUUUAAUGUAAGGUUCCUCUUUUGCACACUUUUGUAUCGAAGCCAAAACUUUACAUCAAGUUUUUGAAUAAAGUACCUUA